rnacentral:misc_RNA from 1 species
CGUGUGUGCAAUGUUGCAUGUGCUGCCACGCCUUUCUUCAGUCCCUCGUGAUGGGCGGCGGGAGCAAGGAGAGAGAGGGGGGCGGGUGUUGAGACACACGCGCAUGCGCAACGCGAAAAGGGGAGGAGGGGCCUAAGGAGCGUCGCGAUUUAGAUAGGCAGCUGCACCACUGCACAGCGUGGAAGGAGCGCCCACGCACAUGGACGCGGGGUAGGCGGCAGACGGGAUGGGAGGGGAGGAGGUGAAUGUAUAUCUUGGCGAUGGGCGCCCCCGUCUGUGCUUUGUGUUGUGGCGCGUCUUCGCCAGCGACACAGACGCGCGCGCCCCCUCCCCCUCUCCCUCCCUCGUAGUGUUUCCGCGCACGAACGCCGUGCAACGUCGGCCCCGACUCCUUCGCACGCACACGCCUCCCCUCUCCCCCUUCUCUCUCUCCCUCGUCCUCAUCGAUCCUCUUCCCGCCUCGCGCCACCUCUGCCUAUCGAGCUGCAUGAAAAACAGCAGCAGAGCACGAGAGAGCCGGGAGGGCAGAGGUGCCGAGAGCACGGCUGAAAUGACGAUGGGAUACGAGAGGUGGGGGAAAGAGACGAUGCAAGGUAAGGGAUAAAGCGCGUGCGCGACUGUGUGUGUGUGUACUGAGCGAGUGCUGGCGCAGCGUCCCUCCCAACUCUCACGCUCUUGCUGGCAGCCUCAGUCGCACAGCCGCGCUCUCCUCCUUCCCCCCACCCCCCACCCCCCACCCCCAACCGUGCAUGCAUGGAUCAAGUCGGCGCACACACGCGCACGCAGGCAUGUGCAUGCCUAUUAACGAAAACGGUAAUUUGAUCUCUUCCUCUUCUCCCUAUAUCUUCUAUUCUUUUCUGAUGUUGUUGAUGAUGCGCGUUGUUCCCCUUACAUAUAUAUCUUGUUUUCUCUUCGGAGCUGUGUGAUCCGCUCUCCUCUUCUCUCCUCUCCUCUCCUCUCCCCUCCCCCCACCCACGGGCCUCGCCGGUCGCAUCUAGUCGUGCGUGUUUCCUUCGUUCUCUCUUCUUUUGUUGUCGGUGUUCGCUGGAGGGUCGCCGGUCGACGAAGAGACAGGUCCUGCGCCUGAGAGAAGAGUAGGAAAGCGAAGAGCCCGGCGCAAUGUGGGUGCGGUGGUGGAUCAAGCUGUGGAAGAAGCACACACACACACACGCCAGACACACACGUGUGUCUACGACCCGAGAUGAUGACGGCCAAAAGAGGAGGUGAAGGGAGGGGACUUUGGACGAGGAGGAUGUUGUGCUGUGUUGCGCAUCCCUCUCCCUCUCUACCCUCACCACACACGCACUCGCCUCUCCUCCGGAGAUAACGUUUUCCUCUUGCUCCCUCUCUCUCUCUGAACAUCUCAGCGACUCGGCACGGCACGGCCGCGUUCGUUACUCACCGGCUCUGUUCGUCUGUUUCGUCGCCUGUGUACUCGCUUCCUUUCUGUACCGCGCGAGGUAUGCAUAUGCAUGUGCAUGUGCAAGUGUGUGUGUGUGUGUGUGUGUGUGUGUGACCGCCCGUGUAUACGUGUACAUGUGUAUGCACAUCUAUAUACGCAUCUCCUUGUCUAUGUCUCGCUCUCGCUCUGUGUCGGCGAACGUGCGCGCGCGUGGGGAAAGGGGAGGGCGUCUCUCCUUUCAUGUCCUUUCUCUCGUGAGGCCGAGGCCCCCCCACCCCCUCCUCACUGAGCACAGAGGAGACCAAAACGAAAUCUGGCCUUCGCCACCUGUCAGUUCCGCCUGU